GAUGAACGCUGGCGGCGUGCCUAAUACAUGCGAGUCGAGCGAACGGACGAGAAGCUUGCUUCUCUGAUGUUAGCGGCGGACGGGUGAGUAACACGUGGAUAACCUACCUAUAAGACUGGGAUAACUUCGGGAAACCGGAGCUAAUACCGGAUAAUAUUUUGAACCGCAUGGUUCAAAAGUGAAAGACGGUCUUGCUGUCACUUAUAGACGGAUCCGCGCUGCAUUAGCUAGUUGGUAAGGUAACGGCUUACCAAGGCAACGAUGCAUAGCCGACCUGAGAGGGUGAUCGGCCACACUGGAACUGAGACACGGUCCAGACUCCUACGGGAGGCAGCAGUAGGGAAUCUUCCGCAAUGGGCGAAAGCCUGACGGAGCAACGCCGCGUGAGUGAUGAAGGUCUUCGGAUCGUAAAACUCUGUUAUUAGGGAAGAACAUAUGUGUAAGUAACUGUGCACAUCUUGACGGUACCUAAUCAGAAAGCCACGGCUAACUACGUG
rnacentral:rRNA from 1 species